rnacentral:rRNA from 1 species
AUUGAACGCUGGCGGCAGGCCUAACACAUGCAAGUCGAGCGGAUGAGAGGAGCUUGCUUCUCGAUUCAGCGGCGGACGGGUGAGUAAUGCCUAGGAAUCUGCCUGGUAGUGGGGGACAACGUUUCGAAAGGAACGCUAAUACCGCAUACGUCCUACGGGAGAAAGCAGGGGACCUUCGGGCCUUGCGCUAUCAGAUGAGCCUAGGUCGGAUUAGCUAGUUGGUGAGGUAAUGGCUCACCAAGGCGACGAUCCGUAACUGGUCUGAGAGGAUGAUCAGUCACACUGGAACUGAGACACGGUCCAGACUCCUACGGGAGGCAGCAGUGGGGAAUAUUGGACAAUGGGCGAAAGCCUGAUCCAGCCAUGCCGCGUGUGAAGAAGAUCUUCGGAUUGUAAAGCACUUUAAGUUGGGAGGAAGGGUUGUAGAUUAAUACUCUGCAAUUUUGACGUUACCGACAGAAUAAGCACCGGCUAACUCUGUGCCAGCCGCCGCCGUAA